UCUUUACAUGAUCACAAAAAAAAAGGAGAAAAGAUGCAUAAAGUUCCCCAAAAACACAUUAUCAAUAGCAAAAUUUCACAAGCCAUUCAAUCACCUAAUCUGUGGGAGUACAAGUGCAGGGUGACACAAUUUCACUAGUCUUUGCCAAC